GCCUGAGCUAUGACUACAGUACUGUCAUAGUAGAGCAAAAUUCGACCAUCAAUAGAGGGUGCCACUCUAAGCUUGCUGAUGAACUUUCUCAGCCACACAGCUUCUUUUGCAGCAUCAGAUGCCACGAUAUACCCCACCUCGCAUAUUGAGUCAGCCACAGUAUGUUGCUUAAAAUUUUUUCAACAGACUGCUCUAUCAUUCAAG
rnacentral:lncRNA from 1 species